UUCAAAAGGAAGGGGAGAUAGAGAGAAGGAAGGAAAGAAGAAAGAAGGGUAAAAGGAAGGAAGGAAGUGAAGAAGGAAAGAGAAGGAAAGAAAAAAGGAUAGAAGGACGGAGGGGAAAAGAAAGAAGGGAAGGAUAGAUGGCAGGAUGGUAGGGGGGUAUGGAAAGGAUAGAAGAGGACGGUCUGAAGUGAUUGUAAGGAAGGAUGUAAGGAAAGAAGUAGAUGGAAGGAGGGAGGGAGCGAAAGAGGGAUGGAGAGGCAAACUCGCAAUCCCCGCCAAGCUUGGCCCCGGCCCUGAUUGGUCACGCGCGGAAAAGAAAGAGAGAGAGAAGCAGAGAGAGAAAGAAGAGGAAGAAAAAGCUCUUCCCACUUUCUUCUCUGCUUGUCCAUCUUUGGGUUAUUCUGAGGCUGAGCACCAGAUAUUGACUCCUAAACUAGGAGUCACUUUUGCUGCUGGACAAAGAGAGGAAAAGCUCUUCCCACUUCUUCUCUGUCUGUCCAUCCCUUCAAUGCUCUCAAAUCUGGAGAAGCUCAUUCUCUUUCUUCUCUGCCUUUCAAUCUACAGCUACAUUGGGGUUAUAGUGAAGCCUUCCUUCACAAAAACACAGGCUCAGCAUCCCAAAAAAGAAAGUGUUGUGUACAUUUAUGUUGUCAUAGUCUUAUAUGCUUAUGUAUUUUAACUACUAAUUCACCUUGUAUAUGUAUCAAGACACAUGCAGACAUCACUAACAGUAUGCUAGCCAUAUUUGAGCAAUUAUUGGUUUAAUAUUAGUCAAGGCUUUAUGGUCUUGGGUCUGCUUCCAAUGCCACGCCGUCUGCAUCUGAAAAUGUGAAUUCUCUAUAAAGAUGGCAUUCAACAUGGCGAAAUGGUGAAAAUUAUAUGGUCGACAAGCAACUGCAAAGCCCUCAUAAGGUUGCCCAGUCACUAGCAAACGUGCCAUGGCUUGUUUUGCUGCUUUAAGAAGCGGCAUGAGCUUCAGAGAAACAACAGGUGGAAAAACAACACUGCAUUGGAGGCAAAUCUUAUCAGUUGCGUACAGAUGACACAGCAGUUAAAGGCACAGUUAGAGGAGUUGAUAGAGAAAAUGACAACCCUGGAACCCCAACAUCUCAAAGAUCAGAAGCAAAACAAUGAAUAUGAUUGAUUUAUGACAUGAAAAAAUCAAUUUCUUUGGGAAUCCAAGAGACAGAAACAUCUCGGUAUCCUUGCUCCAUAUCGGUCACGAUUCUCAGCAAAUGCCAAGAGCAAUUAUGCUCAGUUUUUAGACCUCAAAGCAUGCAAAUUCAAAUGGAAAAUUGGUUUAAGGUACUUUCAAUAAAAGUUGAACUAUAUUCUCCUUGAUCAGACAUUCCAGGCACUUUAUGGAGCAAAUAAAUUAAUUUAUAAACUUACCAGUGAAGUCUAUGAUUUUGCUUCCUUUCCGUUUCUGUCAAGGAAAGGCUCUUCCUCCCAGACUGCGCGUAGUUUAUGGCACAACCACAAAAAGUUACACUUUUCAAUAAGUUCAAUCUGAAAGACAGAGAAAGGAAAAUCAAUUCCCUCCACUACUAGUUAUGCAGGGUGAUUUAAAACCACGGAAAAUACAGAGAACCCAGCCACCUAUAUUCCUCAGAGAUAAAUUCCAUUAUCCUCUUGUGGCAAAAACAAAUAUUUCUUCAAUCUUUUAAAGGCAGGGUUGGAAGCACAAUUUAAUGACCUAUUACAUCUUUCAAUUACAAGAAAGGAAGAUUGUUCAGAGGUAGCUAUGUCAGCCAUGCAGCAAAACAGGAUAAAUUCCAAAAUGGAUAUCGUGACCAUACCUUCAAAAGGUUGUAUAGUAUAUAUAAAAGGUUUUCCCCAGAUAUUAAGUCUAAUCGUAUCCUAUUCUGGGGGUUGGUGCUCAUCUCAAUUUCUAAACUGAAGAGCCAGCAUUGUCUGUAGACACCUCCAAGGUCAUGUAGCUGGCAUGAUUGCAUGGAGUGCUGUUAUCUUCCUGGCGGAGCUGUACGUAUUGAUCUACUCACAUUUGCAUGUUUUUGAACUGCUAGGUUGGCAGAAGCUGAGGCUAACAGCGGGAGCUCAUCCUGCUCCUUGGAUUUGAACUGCCAACCUUUCAGUCAGCAAGUUCA
rnacentral:lncRNA from 1 species